rnacentral:rRNA from 1 species
CCUACGUGAGGCAGCAGUGGGGAAUAUUGCACAAUGGGGGAAACCCUGAUGCAGCGACGCCGCGUGAGUGAAGAAGUAAUUCGUUAUGUAAAGCUCUAUCAGCAGGGAAGAAAAUGACGGUACCUGAGUAAGAAGCCCCGGCUAACUACGUGCCAGCAGCCGCGGUAAUACGUAGGGGGCAAGCGUUAUCCGGAUUUACUGGGUGUAAAGGGAGCGUAGACGGCAGUGCAAGUCUGGAGUGAAAGGCGGGGGCUCAACCCCCGGACUGCUCUGGAAACUGUACGGCUGGAGUGCAGGAGAGGUAAGUGGAAUUCCUAGUGUAGCGGUGAAAUGCGUAGAUAUUAGGAGGAACACCAGUGGCGAAGGCGGCUUACUGGACUGUAACUAACGUUGAGGCUCGAAAGCGUGGGGAGCAAACAGGAUUAGAUACCCGAGUAGUC